rnacentral:rRNA from 1 species
GAUGAACGCUAGCGGCAGGCCUAAUACAUGCAAGUCGAACGGUGUAGCAAUACACAGUGGCGCACGGGGGCGUAACACGUAUGCAACCCACCUAUCAGUGGGGGAUAGCCUGUGGAAACGGAGAGUAAUACCGCAUAAGACAGUAACAUGGCAUCAUGUAGCUGUUAAAGCUUUGGCGAUGAUAGAUGGGCAUGCGUCCAAUUAGUUAGUUGGUGAGGUAAUGGCUGACCAAGACGAUGAUUGGUAGGGGAUCUGAGAGGAUAAUCCCCCACAAUGGCACUGAGAUACGGGCCAGACUCCUACGGGAGGCAGCAGUAGGGAAUAUUGGGCAAUGGACGGAAGUCUGACCCAGCCAUGCCGCGUGCAGGAUGCAGGCGUUAUGCGUUGUAAACUGCUUUUUUAUAGGAAGCAGAAGCCCUUGCGAGGGAAAGUGACGGUACUAUAAGAAUAAGCACCGGCUAACUCUGUGCCAGCCGCCGCGGUAACAC